rnacentral:lncRNA from 1 species
AUGCUUGUUCAUAACAUGUCAAGUGCACAUAAAAAAUUUCAUGAUCAUUGGAUUCAUUUCUGUUUUAAUGUGGAUUUCUAUGUUUGAUGUCCAAUUGUGAUCACUUUGUUUGCCUUUGCCUUAUCUUGUUUAAUAGAUGGCUUUGCUUAAUGAUUUGGCUUUGGUCCUUUUGAGGCUUUCUUAUUGUUUGAUUGGACAUGCUUCACAUGAAAUAUUGGUUGUUUUCCUUGCCUUUGACCCUAGUCUUUGU